CCAUGCUGGACCUGAAUACGAGUUGAUAUUGAAUAACCUACUGAACACUUCAGAUAUAUUUAGUGGCAGCACAACUCAGUCUAGCCAGUGAUAUGGAUUAGCAUUACAUAGGAUAAGCUGUGGUCAUCAUCAAGCAAAUUCCCAUACCUAUUCAUUUCAUUCGACCCCAAUGGUAGUUUAGAAAUCUCGCCGGCCGCGGACAUGUCCCAUAUUACAAAGUCACAGGUAGGAAGCGAAGGUUUAAUUUUCAGCAGUGCAGCUUUGUCUUUCACGUUGUGCAAAAAUGGUCAAGAUUUGUCAUGGGAGACAAGUACAUUUUUGUUGACGCUUAGACCUAGCAUUUAAAAAAAUAUAACUCAUACCUCGCGUCUGGCCCUCUCAGCGAAAGCGAGACCCUGUCCCCUCUGUCCCCGUCUGCUGCCUCAAGCCUUCCUGUAAGCAAGAAUUAGUUCUCUAUGCAGAUAUCGCUCCGCAUAAAAAUUCGGCGUACGGGAAAUUUGUUUUGUACCGACCUAUAAUAGAACCUUGACGGAGACUCCUCGCAUGAAGCUCGUACCUUGGAUGACGGAACCUUGGCUCCCAUUCGUUGACGUCCUCGACUGAGACGUUCACUCUCGCUGUAUCGUUCUGAACAGUAGCAAUUUGGAAAAUUGAUUAUGGAGCUAAAGUUAAAAUGAAGAGACAGAAAUGGAAACCCAACGCCUUACGUGGUGCCCGUCCGUCACGUGAACCCGGAAGCUGUGCUGUAUCCGACGCUCGUAGUCUAGGGUACCCUUCAGGAUGAGCUCACCGGAUCUUGUGAUGGCGAACCUCUCGAGAUCCUCGCCCGCCCCGACCAGCCAGAACCUCAAGUUCUACAGUUAGGUAACGUGUGAAGAGAUCCGUUUACCGGCUGUGGGUCCGGCGCCGAGUCCUCCCUCCCGGGCGACGACGACAGUUGCCAGAGCGUAUCGAUCCGGAUUGUCAACCUGGGUCGCCUGCGAUUGCCAUGAAUGGAACAACAUAGACAUUAUAAGAACAUCGACUCGCCUUUAUCACCAGCGUCGUGGGUGCGACGACCUCGUGGUCCCUCAGGC